UGCCAGCAGCCGCGGUAAUACAUAGGGGUCAAGCGUUGUCCGGAUUUAUUGGGCGUAAAGAGCUCGUAGGCGGUUUAUUAAGUUGUAGAUUAAAGCCCAGGGCUCAACUUUGGUAGAGUCUACAAAACUAUUAAACUAGAAUUAAGUAGAGGAUAGUGGAAUUUCUAAUGGAGGGUUAAGUUCCGCAGAUAUUAGAAGGAACAUCAAUGGCGAAGGCAACUAUCUGGACUUAUAUUGACGCUGAAUUACGAAGGCGUAGGUAGCGAACAGGAUUAGAUA
rnacentral:rRNA from 1 species